rnacentral:rRNA from 1 species
AGCGAACGCUGGCGGCAGGCUUAACACAUGCAAGUCGAGCGGGCGUAGCAAUACGUCAGCGGCAGACGGGUGAGUAACGCGUGGGAACAUACCUUUUGGUUCGGAACAACACAGGGAAACUUGUGCUAAUACCGGAUAAGCCCUUACGGGGAAAGAUUUAUCGCCGAAAGAUUGGCCCGCGUCUGAUUAGCUAGUUGGUAGGGUAAUGGCCUACCAAGGCGACGAUCAGUAGCUGGUCUGAGAGGAUGAUCAGCCACAUUGGGACUGAGACACGGCCCAAACUCCUACGGGAGGCAGCAGUGGGGAAUAUUGGACAAUGGGCGCAAGCCUGAUCCAGCCAUGCCGCGUGAGUGAUGAAGGCCCUAGGGUUGUAAGCUCUUUGUGUCGGGAAGAUAAUGACGGUACCGCAAGAAUAAGCCCCGGCUAACUUCGUGCCAGCAGCCGCGGUAAU